AGUUGUCCCAAAAGGGCAUGGCUGGGUAGCUACAUUGCUAUUUGGAUAAACGCUGAAAGCAUAUAAGCGUGAAGCCAUCCCCAAGAUUAGGUUUCGUUGGACUUCGGUCCUGAACUCCCCUGGAAGACGACCAGGUUGAUAGGCUGGCUGUGUGAGGCGUGCAAGCGUCUGAGCUGACCAGUACUAACGGAGGAAUGCUUGACCAC
rnacentral:rRNA from 1 species